rnacentral:rRNA from 1 species
AUUGAACGCUGGCGGCAGGCCUAACACAUGCAAGUCGAACGGUAGCACAGAGAGCUUGCUCUCGGGUGACGAGUGGCGGACGGGUGAGUAACGUCUGGGAAACUGCCCGAUGGAGGGGGAUAACUACUGGAAACGGUAGCUAAUACCGCAUAACGUCGCAAGACCAAAGUGGGGGACCUUCGGGCCUCACGCCAUCGGAUGUGCCCAGAUGGGAUUAGCUAGUAGGUGGGGUAAUGGCUCACCUAGGCGACGAUCCCUAGCUGGUCUGAGAGGAUGACCAGACACACUGGAACUGAGACACGGUCCAGACUGCUACGGGAGGCAGCAGUGGGGAAUAUUGCACAAUGGGCGCAAGCCUGAUGCAGCCAUGCCGCGUGUAUGAAGAAGGCCUUCGGGUUGUAAAGUACUUUCAGCGGGGAGGAAGGCGGUGAAGUUAAUAACUUCACCGAUUGACGUUACCCGCAGAAGAAGCACCGGCUAACUCCGUGCCAGCCGCCGCAGUAA